rnacentral:rRNA from 1 species
AUUGAACGCUGGCGGCAGGCCUAACACAUGCAAGUCGAGCGCGCGGCGGACUGGGGAGUAAUGUAUGGGGACUGCGCUAUAGAGUGGGAUAACUACUGGAAACAGUAGCUAAUACCGCAUACUAUCGGAUACCACAUCUGGGAUGAGCUAGUAGGUGAGGGAAUGUCUCACAUAGGCGACUAUCCCUAGCUGGUCUGAGAGGAUGAUCAGCCACACUGGGACUGAGACACGGACCAGAUUCCUACGGAGUCAGCAGUGGGGAAUAUUGAACAAUGGGCGCAAGCCUGAUGCAGCCAUGCCGCGGGUAUGAAGAAGGCCCUAGGGUUGUAAAGUACUUUCAGUCGGGAGGCGUUACCUACAGAAGAAGCACCGGCUAACUCCGUGCCAGCAGCCGCGGUAAUAC